UACAGAGGGUGCAAGCGUUGUCCGGAAUCACUGGGCGUAAAGGGCGCGUAGGUGGCGACCCAAGUCGAUGGUGAAAGCUCGCCGCUCAACGGCGAGUCGGCCACCGAUACUGGGUUGCUUGAGCACUGUAGAGGCUAAUGGAAUUCCGGGUGUAGCGGUGGAAUGCGUAGAGAUCCGGAAGAACACCGGUGGCGAAGGCGGUUAGCUGGGCAGUUGCUGACACUGAGGCGCGACAGCGUGGGGAGCAAACAGG
rnacentral:rRNA from 1 species